GCAGGCAUAUCGAAGUGGUCAUAACGAGGCGGUCUUGAAAACCGUUUGCCCUAAAGGCACGGGGGUUCGAAUCCCUCUGCCUGCGCCA
rnacentral:tRNA from 1 species